rnacentral:rRNA from 1 species
UACGGGGGGGCAAGCGUUGUUCGGAAUUACUGGGCGUAAAGGGCUCGUAGGUGGCCAACUAAGUCAGACGUGAAAUCCCUCGGCUUAACCGGGGAACUGCGUCUGAUACUGGAUGGCUUGAGUUUGGGAGAGGGACGCGGAAUUCCAGGUGUAGCGGUGAAAUGCGUAGAUAUCAGGAGGAAUACCGAUGGCGAAGGCAGGUCUCUGGGCUGACACUGACGCUCAUGCACGAAAGCGU